rnacentral:rRNA from 1 species
AUUGAACGCUGGCGGCAGGCCUAACACAUGCAAGUCGGACGAGCGGCGGACGGGUGCGUAAUGUCUGGGAAUCUGCCCGAUGGAGGGGGAUAACUACUGGAAACGGUAGCUAAUACCGCAUACCAUCGGAUGAACCCAGAUGGGAUUAGCUUGUAGGUGGGGUAACGGCUCACCUAGGCGACGAUCCCUAGCUGGUCUGAGAGGAUGAUCAGCCACACUGGGACUGAGACACGGCCCAGACUCCUACGGGAGGCAGCAGUGGGGAAUAUUGCACAAUGGGCGCAAGCCUGAUGCAGCCAUGCCGCGUGUAUGAAGAAGGCCUUCGGGUUGUAAAGUACUUUCAGUCGGGAGGCGUUACCGACAGAAGAAGCACCGGCUAACUCCGUGCCAGCAGCCGCGGUAAUAC